rnacentral:lncRNA from 11 species
GAACACUUGAAAUGGGUUCCUGCAGUUUGGGCUAUCCAAAAGCAUGCUGUGAUUUGUUGGAGGAACCAGACAGAAAUUGAAACAGAGGCAUUACUGUACUACUAUCCGGAUUAUUUGCUACUAAAUGGAAAUCAUUGAUAAGAAUUUAGAAACAGAGUUUAGGCAUCCAAUAAAGGGGGCAGGCCAACUAACAGAGGAAAUGAGAAUACAGCAUAUAUAAGAGGUGAGAUGUAGAUGAUGAUGAUGAUGAUAA